rnacentral:rRNA from 1 species
CAAAGGAAUUGACGGGGCCCGCACAAGCGGCGGAGCAUGCGGAUUAAUUCGAUGCAACGCGAAGAACCUUACCAAGGCUUGACAUACACCGGUAACGCCCAGAGAUGGGUGCCCCUUUGUGGUCGGUGUACAGGUGGUGCAUGGUUGUCGUCAGCUCGUGUCGUGAGAUGUUGGGUUAAGUCCCGCAACGAGCGCAACCCUCGUCCUAUGUUGCCAGCGGGUCAUGCCGGGGACUCAUGGGAGACUGCCGGGGUCAACUCGGAGGGAGGUGGGGAUGACGUCAAAUCAUCAUGCCCCUUAUGUCUUGGGCUUCACGCAUGCUACAAUGGCCGGUACAAAGGGCUGCGAUACCGCGAGGUGGAGCGAAUCCCAGAAAGCCGGUCUCAGUUCGGAUUGGGGUCUGCAACUCGACCCCAUGAAGUCGGAGUCGCUAGUAAUCGCAGAUCAGCAACGCUGCGGUGAAUACGUUCCCGGGCCUU